AUGCCACUGCUAGAAGCUCUCAUCUUCUCAUCCCUCUUGGCCUUUGGCCUUGGGCAGGCGACAUUGGAGCAACAUGAAAUAUCAGUUUCCAGAGCAAGAGAUAAGAGUGCCCACAUAUCAUGCAACGUGUCUGCUAAGGACUUCAACAGUGAAACCAUAUACUGGUACUGGCAGAAACCAGAUCAGGAGAUAGAAUAUCUAACAGAUGUCAUAACAAACCGUGUUCAAGUUCCCUUAGACGGGAAGAACAACAAAUUUGAGGCAAGUAAAAACACUCAUACUUCCACUUCAACAUUGAAAAUAAAUUUCCUAGAGAAAGAAGAUGAGGCCGUGUACUACUGUGGCAGCUAUAACUCAGGCUGGAUCAAGAUGUUUGCACAGGGAACUAAGCUCAUAGUAAUUCCCCCAGAUAAAAGCGUUAAUGUAGACAUUUCCCCCAAGCCCACAAUUUUUCUACCUUCAGUUACGGAGAGAGAACUCCAUAAGGCUGGAACAUAUCUUUGUCUUCUUGAGGAUUUUUUCCCGGAUGUUAUCAAGAUAGAUUGGAGAGAAAAGGAUGAUGAAACAAUUCUGAAAUCGCAGCAGGGAGACACCGUGAAGACUAACGACACAUACAUGAAAUUCAGCUGGCUGACCGUGACUGGAGCGUCAAUGGAUAAAGAACACAAAUGUAUCGUCAAACACGAGUGGAAUAAAGGAGGAGUUGAUCAAGAGAUUCUAUUUCCUCCACAGAAAAAAGAGCUGACUGCUAUUAAUUCUACAAAAGCUUCUCUAAGAUAUAAAGAUGAUACUUUGCAGCUGCAGCUCAAGACCACCUCUGCCUACUACACUUACCUUCUACUGCUCUUCAAGAGCCUGAUCUACUCUGUCAUCGUGGCCAUCUGUCUGCUUGGGAGACCAGCAUUCUGUGGCAAUGGGAAGAGUUCCUAACACAUGGUGGCACAAGAGUCCACUUUUCUCCAAUGGCAAUUGUCGCCAAAAGUAUCUGUUGUGGAUCUAAUGGGGCUUUCUCUCUGAAACUGUUAUAUUUCAGUUCAAAUGUGUCUUUUUCUAUUGUGUCAUUACUCCAGAACAGGUCUACACACCACUGGGCAAACAGAAACUUUCCCUUUGCAGCUAGAACAAAUUCUGCCAUGACUCUGGGGCGGGGCCAGGGGGCAUCCACAGGGGUGUCAGCACUGCUCUCUCCUUAAUGUCCACCAGCUCCUCAGCCACCCAGUCCCAGAGCCUCUGAGCACAGCC